rnacentral:rRNA from 1 species
AGGGUUUGAUCCUGGCUCAGAUUGAACGCUGGCGGAAUGCUUUACACAUGCAAGUCGAACGAUGAAGCCUAGCUUGCUAGGUGAAUUAGUGGCGGACGGGUGAGUAAUAUAUCGGAACGUGUCCAUUAAUGGGGGAUAACUAAUCGAAAGGUUAGCUAAUACCGCAUACGCCCUGAGGGGGAAAGCUGGGGAUCUUCGGACCUAGCGUUAAUGGAGCGGCCGAUACCUGAUUAGCUAGUUGGUGGGGUAAAAGCCUACCAAGGCAACGAUCAGUAGCUGGUCUGAGAGGACGACCAGCCACACUGGGACUGAGACACGGCCCAGACUCCUACGGGAGGCAGCAGUGGGGAAUUUUGGACAAUGGGGGCAACCCUGAUCCAGCCAUUCCGCGUGAGUGAAGAAGGCCUUCGGGUUGUAAAGCUCUUUCGCAAGGGAAGAAACGAUAUAGGUUAAUAGCUUAUGUUAAUGACGG